UAAAUACUCCCUCCGUCCGGAAAUCUUGUCGAAGAAAUGCAUCAAAAUGAAUGUAUCUAGAACUAAAAUACAUCUAGAUACAUCCAUUCCUUCGACGAGUAUUUCUAGACGGAGGGAGUACAUG
rfam:Triticum aestivum genome assembly, contig: Triticum_aestivum_CS42_TGACv1_scaffold_223156_3B